rnacentral:rRNA from 1 species
CCCAUAGCCCACUACGCCUGGAACGGUGAGUGGGUCAAAGCUCCGGCGGCAUAGGAUGGGCCUGCGCCGUAUCAGGUUGUAGGGGGUGUAAAGUACCCUCUAGCCAUCAACGCGUACGGGUGUUGGGAGACAUUGCCCGGAGAUGGAUUCUGAGACACGAAUCCAGACCCUACGGGGUGCAGCAGGCGCGAAAACUUGGCAAUGCGAGAAAUCGUGACCAGGGAACUCCAAGUGCGUAGGGUAAGACCUACGCUUUUCUUGACUCUUCAAAGGUCUUGGAAUAAGGGGUGGGUAAGGACGGUGCCAGCCGCCGCGGUAAUACCGGCGCCUCAAGUGGUAGUCGCUUUUAUUGGGCCUAAAACGUCCGUAGCCGGUCUGGUGCAUUCGUGGGUAAAUCAACCCGCUCAACGGGUUGAAUUCUGCGAGCACGGCCAGACUUGGGACCGGGAGAGGUGUGGGGUACUCUCAGGGUAGGGGUAAAAUCCUGUCAUCCUGAGAGGACCACCUGUUGCGAAGGCGCCACACUAGAACGGAUCCGACGGUCAGGGACGAAACCUAGGGGCACGAACCGGAUUAGAUACCCGGGUAGUCCUAGGUGUAAACGCUGUGGACUUGAUGUUGGGGGCGCUCCGAGCGCUCUCAGUGUCGAAGCGAAGGUGAUAAGUCCACUGCCUGGGGAGUACGGUCGCAAGGCUGAAACUCAAAUGAAUUGACGG